GUCAAGUCAUCAUGGCCCUUAUGUCCAGGGCUACACACGUGCUACAAUGGACGGUACAGAGCGGAGCAAAGCCGCGAGGCGCAAGCGAAUCGCUUAAAGCCGUCCGUAGUUCGGAUUGAAGUCUGAAACCCGACUUCAUGAAGUUGGAAUCGCUAGUAAUCGCGCAUCAGCAUGGCGCGGUGAAUACGUUCCCGGGCCUU
rnacentral:rRNA from 1 species